rnacentral:rRNA from 1 species
CCUGGCGGCAGCCUAACCAUGCAAGUCGAGCGGAUGAGAGGAGCUUGCUCCUGGAUUCAGCGGCGGACGGGUGAGUAAUGCCUAGGAAUCUGCCUGGUAGUGGGGGACAACGUUUCGAAAGGAACGCUAAUACCGCAUACGUCCUACGGGAGAAAGCAGGGGACCUUCGGGCCUUGCGCUAUCAGAUGAGCCUAGGUCGGAUUAGCUAGUUGGUGAGGUAAUGGCUCACCAAGGCGACGAUCCGUAACUGGUCUGAGAGGAUGAUCAGUCACACUGGAACUGAGACACGGUCCAGACUCCUACGGGAGGCAGCAGUGGGGAAUAUUGGACAAUGGGCGAAAGCCUGAUCCAGCCAUGCCGCGUGUGUGAAGAAGGUCUUCGGAUUGUAAAGCACUUUAAGUUGGGAGGAAGGGUUGUAGAUUAAUACUCUGCAAUUUUGACGUUACCGACAGAAUAAGCACCGGCUAGCUCUGUGCCAGCAGCCGCGGUAAU